rnacentral:misc_RNA from 1 species
UCUCGAAACGUGACGAUGCAACGUGCAGAGGACGCUAAUGACGCUUACGCGAAAAAAAUAGUACCGUCAAAUUUGUUCAAAACGAGCGAUGAGAGACGACGAAUUGUUGACCGAAACGCAAGAGAUUUCCGACAUCGUGCCGAACAUGGAGUUAACCAUCGACCCAGAGAAACAGAGGUUUCCGUUCUGCAUAGUCUGGACACCGUUACCGAUACUGACAUACUUUUUACCGUUCAUCGGUCACAUGGGCAUCGCCACUUCUACCGGCGUGAUUCGAGAUUUCGCUGGUCCUUAUCAUGUGUCCGAGGAUAACAUGGCGUUUGGGAAACCUACGAAGUACUGGCAAUUGAACCACGCCAAAGCCAAAGGCGGUGUUCGAGGCUGGGACUCGGCCGUUGCGGAAGCUAGUGAGAUUUACAAAACUAGAAUGCACAAUCUAUGUUGUGACAACUGUCACUCGCACGUUGCCACAUCGCUUAAUCUGAUGUGCUAUGAUAAUUCGAGUAGCUGGAACAUGGUAAAGCUAGCGUUCCUUAUGCUCGUGCACGGCAAAUACGUGAGCUUUCUUGGAUUUCUCAAAACAUGGGUGCCAUUCUUUCUUCUCGUUGCGAUUGUAACCUUAUUUAGUUUAUUCGUACGGUAAUUUGAGUACUGCAGCUACCUGAUAAAUAGCCGCUGCUUAACAGCACGGUGUCUGAACGGUAUCGGAUCGUCGUCGAAUUUUUAACAUAGGUGCCGUGCUGUUAAGCGGAUGACAGCCUUUCGAAGCGGGAAACCAUCGAAUGAAAAUAGCCAGCCAUUUGGUAACUUGAACUUUAUUACAAACGUGUGUCGACGCUCUAAACACUCACAUUACAAAUACACAAUGUCGUGACACUUACAAAGUAAACUUAACGUAUCGAAACAUUAUUCGCUAUAUAUUACGAUACAGGCGUAUCGAGUCGUAUCGUUCCUUUUAAGAAAUAAACUUGUACUCGAGUUUUAUCGAGUACUCGAGUA